rnacentral:rRNA from 1 species
GAUGAACGCUGGCGGCGUGCUUAACACAUGCAAGUCGAGCGGAAAGACGAUGCUUUUGCGGGGUGCUCGAGUGGCGAGGGGGUGUGUAACACAUGAGUAUACUGUACCUGACUUUGGGAUAACUUCAGGGAAAUGGGGCUAAUACAGGGUAGGAGCUCCUGAUGCAUGGGGGGGGUUGGAAAGUGUCGGCGGUGGUGGCUGGACUAGCGGCUUAUCAGCUUGUUGGGCGGGUAGUGGCGGACAAAGGCUUUGACGGGUAGCCGGCCUGAGAGGGUGACCGGGCACAAUGGGACUGCGGUACGGCGCAGACGCGUACGGGCGGCAGCGGUGGGGAAUAUGGCGCAGUGGGCGGAAGCCUGUUGCGGCGGCGCCGCGUUCGGGAUGACGGCUUUCGGGUUGUGAACCGCUUUCGCCGGUGACGAAGCGUGAGUGACGGUAAUGGGUAAAGAAGCACCGGCUAACUACGUG